rnacentral:rRNA from 1 species
GUUAUAGGGUCAAGUGACUAAGUGCAUGUGGUGGAUGCCUUGGCGAUUACAGGCGACGAAGGACGUGAUAGCCUGCGAUAAGCUUCGGGGAGCUGGCAAAUUAGCUUUGAUCCGGAGAUUUCCGAAUGGGGAAACCCACUCCGCAAGGAGUAACUCUGACUGAAUACAUAGGUCAUUGUGGCGAACCGGGUGAACUGAAACAUCUCAGUAGCUCGAGGAAAAGACAUCAACCGAGAUUCCGAAAGUAGUGGCGAGCGAAAUCGGAGUAGCCCUCGCGUUUUAGCAGUUUGCAUAUCAGAACGGAAUGGAAAGUCCGGCCACAGCGGGUGAUAGCCCCGUAUGAGAAAUGUAAAUUGUGGAACUAGGCGCGAAUAGAGUAGGGCGGGACACGUGAAAUCCUGUCUGAAUAUGGGGG